UAAUCUUAAUUAAAAAUUGUUAAACGAAGAAGGGGAAUAGGGUUGGUUUAAGACUCCUCAGCUUCGUGUCAACUCAAUUCUUACUCUCGUCUCUCUCAUCUCUCGAACCACCUACGCCGGAAAUCGCUCCACCGCGUCGGAGGCGGCGGAGCACGGCCAAUCGUCCAACAUUCUUCCCUCAUCUCUUUCUCCUUGACCUCACAACCUUAGAUCUGCUCUUAGUUUACUCCGAUUCCUUUUCCGUUCCCCUAAAUCUAAGCAAACCUAAAACCCUAGCAUUUUGAGAAGUGAAAUUAAACGAAACUAGCGAAGGAUACUGAUGCGAUACCUUGGGGGAAAUAAUCAAGGAACACAAAUCUACCACAUAGCAUCAAGAAAAGCAAAAAGGAGGAUGAAUAAGGGAGGAGGCGAGACUUACCUUCUGGAGAUGCUCCGGCGGUGAUCAGAAAGCCGGAGAUGAGGCUACGAAAGCUCAGGUGCAAAAUCAACGGGAAGAGCGGCGGAGGAAGCUCCGAUUUCAGCGUGCAGGUCGAAUACGAGUCUACUUUGAGGUUGGAUUGGGGACUGAACAAAUCAAAGUUUUGGGUAUGUUUCUGCUGAUGCAAUAUGGUGAAAUGGCUACGGGUCUCUUAUUUGAAGAGUUUAACGGUGCAAUUCGGUUUUGGUGAGGUUAAAUGCUGCCAGCUUUGGUGUAUUGCCUGAAUUCUUAUGGUGAAAAUGGGCUGCCAUGAUGUGCUUUCGAAUUUGAAUGGAAAUUUGAAUGUGAGCAUGAUUUCAUUCUGAGGUAUGAAGCACACUAGCUGACAGUGUUGCAUUUGUUCACUUGUAGGUUGAUAAUGUGGGAUGUUGCUGAUAUGAAUUUGAAUGUGGAUGCUGAAUUAUGUAUGCGACGACACUGGUGUGUAAUGGUUGAAUGUUAAGAAUUAAAAGAAAAUGGGGCUGGUCUCAUAUAUUGUUAAUUUGGUUUUCUUUCUGUGGCUUGUAUGAGGUUAUAUGGAGUUUGAUGAUGAAGUAGCAGUAGGAUAAUCAUGGAUGGAUGUGGAUUUUAGCAUAGUGAAUGGACUGAAUUCAUUUUGUAAUGUGUGGACUUGGAAUGUUGUAAUGAAGUUCUUUUCUUUCAAAUGAAUGUAACUAUUAUUCUCUUC